UACGUAGGGCGCAAGCGUUGUCCGGAAUUAUUGGGCGUAAAGAGCUCGUAGGUGGCUUGUCGCGUCGGGUGUGAAAGCUUGGGGCUUAACUCCAGGUCUGCAUUCGAUACGGGCUGGCUAGAGGUAGGCAGGGGAGAACGGAAUUCCUGGUGUAGCGGUGAAAUGCGCAGAUAUCAGGAGGAACACCGGUGGCGAAGGCGGUUCUCUGGGCCUUACCUGACGCUGAGGAGCGAAAGCGUGGGGAGCGAACAGGAUUAGAUACCCCCGUAGUCC
rnacentral:rRNA from 1 species